rnacentral:rRNA from 1 species
UACGAGAGGCCCAAACGUUAUUCGGAAUUACUGGGCUUAAAGAGUUCGUAGGCGGCAUGAAAAGUAGGGUGUGAAAGCCCUCGGCUCAACCGAGGAAUUGCGCUCUAAACUGUCGUGCUCGAGGAAUCUAGAGGUGAGCGGAACUGAUGGUGGAGCGGUGAAAUGCGUAGAGAUCGGGAGGAACACCGGCGGCGAAGGCGGCUGCCUGGACCGGCCCUGACGCUGAGGCGCGAAAGCUAGGGGAGCAAACAGG